rnacentral:lncRNA from 1 species
GAGGAUCUGCCCCUGAACAUCUCCUGAGAAGUGCUCCAGCAGAGCGAAAUCUUGAAAGUCAUUCAUGAAAACGUUGUUAAGAAGUGGCUUGAGCCCUUCUCUGAGCUGGCAGAAGUGAAGGAGAAUUACAAGAAAUUCUAUGAGGCAUUCUCUAAAAAUCUAAACCUUGGGAUCCAUGAGGACUCCACCAACCAGGGACGUCUGUCUGAGCUGCUGUGCUAUCACACCUCCCAGUCUGAAGAUGAGAUGACAUCUCUGUCAGAGUAUCUCUCUCACAUGAAGGAGGCACAGAAGUCCAUCUAUUACAUCACUGGUGAGAGCAAAGAGCAGGUAGACACCUCUCAAAGCGGGGCUUCGAGGUGUUAUAUUAGACCAAGCUCACUGAUGAGUACUGCGUGCAGCUGGUCAAGGAGUUUGAUAAGAAAAGCCUGGUCUCUAUUACCUCAGGUCGAGCUACCUGAGGAUGAGAGGAGAAGAAGAAAAUGGAGGAGAGCAAGGCAAAGUUUGAGAACCUCUGCAAGCUUAUGAAAGAAAUCUUAGAUAAGAAGGUUGAGAAGGUGACAGCCUCCAAUAGGCUUGUGUCUUCACCCUGCUGCAUUGUGAUCAGCACCCUAUGGCUGGACAGCCAAUAUGGAGUGAAUCAAGAAAGCUCAGACACUUGGAGACAACUCUCUAAUGGGCUACAUGGUGGCCAAAAAGCGCGUGGAGAUCAACCCGACCACCCCAUUGUGGAGAUGCUGCAGCAGAAGGCUGAGACAGACAAGAACAGCAAAGCUGUCAAGGACCUGGUGGUGCUGCUGUUUGAAACUGCUCUGUUUUCUUCUGGCUUCUCCCUUGAGGAUCCCCAGACCCUCCACCUGCAUCUACCACAUGAUCAAGCUAGGUAUAGGUAUUGAUGAAGAUGAAGUGACAACAGAGGAACCCAGUGCUGUUGUUUCUGAUGAGAUACCCCUGCUUGAGGGUGAGGAGAAUGGGUCUUACAUGGAAGAAGUAGACUAG